ensembl:lncRNA
CUGCCAAUCAUCCACCAUCGUUGGCAGAGCUAUUUAAUGGUGUGGCUGAGUGACAGACAGCCCUGGAGUAUUCCACCAAGCCUGGUAGUGACUCAAGCUCAGAGAAUGUAAGAUAGCGAAGGAAGUCUAAUCGCGUCUGUUUGCCUUUUUUGCACUAAACGAACGAGACGGAGAGACGGGAGGAGAGAUGUCACUAUUCACAAGAGUUGUGUGGACAUACGAGGGGAGCACUGAAGGGACUUUGCACUGUGGAUAACUGUGGAGUGGCUUCACUCUAAAUAAAGACACUGUUCAACUUUAACGAGAGGUCCGCGUCUGGGUUCACUAACUCACCACCCUUAACAGGAGGACUUGUAAGAAUGAAUGAUGCUGCGAAGCAUGAAAAUGCCAUUGGGUCUGCAGUGGUGGUUUACAGGUGAAGAGCCUGAGGCCGGUGACACUCCAGUUCUACUCUAAGUACAUCCUUACAGUGGCUCACAGGACAAGGCGACAUUCCUGUCCUGCCAGAAGAGAAACUUCAGAGUCUUCAUGAAGUUCAACCACACCUGUCAUAUUCCAUAUGACAGAGGUCUCAAACUCCAUUCCUCGAAGGUCGGUGUCAUGCAACUUUUCCAUGCCCUCGAGGACUGGAGUUUGAGACCCCUGCUGUAUGGUGUUCAUGCAGUUUUCUACCCCACAGUUACAGCAUGUCUGACUGCCUGUUCAGCAUAUGCAAAAAUAUAUGAUGAGUUUAAGCAUGUGAUGACUAAGGCCUUCCAUUAUGGUGUUUGUCAUCACAUGUCACAGACAUCUGG